ACUCUUGUUGAUAGGCAGGAAGACUGAGGCUUUGUAGAGUGUCUCAGAAGCGUAAAGAAAACAUUUUCUGAAGUCCAUGGCCUUGGUCAUGCCUAUAUUUGAGGGUCAUUCGAUCAUGUCAUAAGAUUUCCCAAAAAUAAAUCUCAAUGAAGAGGGUGUUUGAAAUCAAGGAAAUAUUUGAGGGCAUUCCAUAAAUUUUUCCCCUUCAAGAAAUAUCACAGACAACCUUCCAUCCAAACUCAACAAAAUUGAAACCCAUUUUUGAGAGUUGUUGGUGCCUCAUCCUAUAACUGACGACAAUGUUAGGAAAUCUGGAGAUGUCAUCGGAGGCCCCAGGAAGAGUUAUAUUUUCUUUUUAACAGCUUGCCCACCCUGAAAUUGGCUCAACUAGAGAUAGGGUCCAACAACUGGAAGAGCAUUGCAUGUCUUGUGAUGUUUGGUGUGCCCUCGAUGGCCCUUGAAAAUCUGGAGGACCGAGUACCAUCCAUGCUCGGUCAUACUCAUAACCGCAUCAGGUCUCCAAGGUGAACAACCUCUGGUCAAUAGAACAAUGUAGGUAAGGGAAGUAGGAAAAAUGGAUCCGUAACUUUAGGAAAAGGAUU
rnacentral:ncRNA from 1 species